AUUGAACGCUGGCGGCAGGCCUAACACAUGCAAGUCGAGCGGAAGCACGGUGAGAGCUCGCGGUUACGGGUGGCGACGGGCGGGUGAGUGCGAGGUAUAUCGCCAGCUGCUGUGGCUAGGGUGAGAACGCGGGCGCAAAUACGGUAUAAGCGCAUACGACGAACGGGGGGGAUCGUGGGACCUUCCGACCUUAGGUGAGUCUAGGUGGGAUUAGCUAGUUGGAUGGGUAAAGGCGUACCAAGGCGACGAUCCGUAGCUGGGCUGAGAGGAUGAUCUGACACACUGGAACUGAGACACGGUCCAGACUCCUACGGGAGGCAGCAGUGGGGAAUAUUGGACAAUGGGCGAAAGCCUGAUCCAGCCAUGCCGCGUGUGUGAAGAAGGUCUUCGGAUUGUAAAGCCCUUUUAUUUGGGAAGAACAGCAGUAAGUUAAUACCUUGCUGUUUUGACGUUACCCAAAGAAUAAGCACCGGCUAACUUCGUG
rnacentral:rRNA from 1 species